rnacentral:rRNA from 1 species
AGCCCAAGAUUGAAAGCUGGCACCUUCGGUGUCCGCAUUGUAAUCUCAAGAAGUGUUUUCCGCUUCGGACCAUGCCUAAGUCUCCUGGAAAGGAGCAUCAUAGAGGGUGAUAAUCCCGUACAUGGCAUGGAGCGCCCGAAGCUUUGUGAUACGCUUUCUAAGAGUCGAGUUGUUUGGGAAUGCAGCUCAAAAUGGGUGGUAAAUGCCAUCUAAGGCUAAAUAUUGGGGAGAGACCGAUAGCGAACAAGUACAGUGAUGGAAAGAUGAAAAGAACUUUGAAAAGAGAGUUAAACAGUACGUGAAAUUGCCAAAAGGGAAGGGUAGGAGGUCAGAGAUGCCGUCUGGGAUUCAGCCUUGCUUUUGCUUGGUGUUUUUCCCAGUUGGCAGGCCAACGUCGGUUUUGGGCACUGGAGAAGGGUGGGAGGAAUGUGGCACCCCUCGGGGUGUGUUAUAGCCUCCUACUGGAUACAGCGACCGAGACCGAGGACAGCAGCGUACUCGCAAGAGCGGGC